AUUGAACGCUGGCGGCAUGCUUUACACAUGCAAGUCGAACGGCAGCGGGGACUUCGGUCCGCCGGCGAGUGGCGAACGGGUGAGUAAUGCAUCGGAACGUGCCUAUCAGUGGGGGAUAACGCUUCGAAAGGAGUGCUAAUACCGCAUAUUCUCCGAGGAGGAAAGCAGGGGACCUUCGGGCCUUGCGCUGAUAGAGCGGCCGAUGUCGGAUUAGCUAGUUGGUGAGGUAAAGGCUCACCAAGGCGACGAUCCGUAGCGGGUCUGAGAGGAUGAUCCGCCACACUGGGACUGAGACACGGCCCAGACUCCUACGGGAGGCAGCAGUGGGGAAUUUUGGACAAUGGGCGAAAGCCUGAUCCAGCCAUGCCGCGUGAGUGAAGAAGGCCUUCGGGUUGUAAAGCUCUUUUGUCCGGGAGGAAAUCCUGGCCUCUAAUACAGGUCGGGGAUGACAGUACUGGAAGAAUAAGCACCGGCUAACUACGUGCCAGCAGCCGCGGUAAUACGUAGGGUGCAAGCGUUAAUCGGAAUUACUGGGCGUAAAGCGUGCGCAGGCGGUUUUGUAAGCCAGAUGUGAAAUCCCCGAGCUUAACUUGGGAACUGCGUUUGGAACUACAAGACUAGAGUGUGUCAGAGGGGGGUAGAAUUCCACGUGUAGCAGUGAAAUGCGUAGAGAUGUGGAGGAAUACCGAUGGCGAAGGCAGCCCCCUGGGAUAACACUGACGCUCAUGCACGAAAGCGUGGGGAGCAAACAGG
rnacentral:rRNA from 1 species